UACGGAGGAUGCAAGCGUUAUCCGGAUUGAUUGGGCGUAAAGCGUCUGUAGGUGGUUACGCUAGUCGGCUGUUAAAGAUCAGGGCUGAACCCUGAGCAAGCAGUCGAAACUGCGUGGCUGGAGUACGGUAGGGGCAGAGGGAAUUCCCGGUGUAGCGGUGAAAUGCGUAGAUAUCAGGAGGAACACCUGUGGUGUAGACGGCUUUCUGGACCAUAGCUGACGCUGAGACACGAAAGCGUGGGUAGCAAACAGG
rnacentral:rRNA from 1 species